UAUUAUCAAACAGAAUCUUUGUAAAAUCUUUCUUCCUCAUUUUUUUCUUUUAACUAGGGUUUCUACUUUCCACUUUAUCUUUUCUUUCUUACCGUUAUCUUCUCUAAAAUUUCAGCACCUCCUACACCACUAUUGGUACUUCUACCUCUACCAUUAUCAAUUCUAGAAUCUUGGCUAUGACCACCACCAUCAAGACCGUCUUUACCACCACCAUUAAAUUCACCACUCCCGCCCC
rnacentral:lncRNA from 1 species